AUUGAACGCUGGCGGAAUGCUUUACACAUGCAAGUCGAACGGCAGCACGGGGGCAACCCUGGUGGCGAGUGGCGAACGGGUGAGUAAUACAUCGGAACGUGCCCAGUCGUGGGGGAUAACUACGCGAAAGCGUAGCUAAUACCGCAUGAGAUCUGGGGAUGAAAGCGGGGGACCUUCGGGCCUCGCGCGAUUGGAGCGGCCGAUGGCAGAUUAGGUAGUUGGUGGGGUAAAGGCUCACCAAGCCGACGAUCUGUAGCUGGUCUGAGAGGACGACCAGCCACACUGGGACUGAGACACGGCCCAGACUCCUACGGGAGGCAGCAGUGGGGAAUUUUGGACAAUGGGCGCAAGCCUGAUCCAGCCAUUCCGCGUGCAGGAUGAAGGCCCUCGGGUUGUAAACUGCUUUUGUACGGAACGAAAAGGCUCUGGUUAAUACCUGGAGCCGAUGACGGUACCGUAAGAAUAAGCACCGGCUAACUACGUGCCAGCAGCCGCAGUAACAC
rnacentral:rRNA from 1 species